CUACACACUAAAAAGUAUGAUGUUUGGCUCUGCAGCUGGACACUAUUGACUUCCAUCGGUCCGUUCUCCUAUGUAGGGUCACGAGGGAGCUCAAGCAGAGCCUAAAACAUGGUCUUGAACUGUAGGCAGGGAAACACACUAAUCGGAUGCCAGUCUAUUACAGGGAAAAGUCACACACAGACGUACAUAUUAACACUCACAUACAGUUUAGUGUCUCCAUGUUUGUGGGGGAAACCGGACCCUGGAGGAAACCCACACCAACAUGGGAAGAACAUGCAAACAGUGUCAGGCUUCAGAUAAAUGGAAGAUUCAAAUGCAGUGAACAAACGUGAAAAGUUUAUUAGGAAAACUUGACGAACCAACGUGAAUAUGUGACAGUGAAGAUGAAGAAGGUCUGUAUGGUGGCUCCCAUGUUCUCCGCACACCAUAAGCGGACACAGACUGGGGAGACCACCGAGAGGAGAUGCAAGCAGGACUCCAGCAAGAGCUAAUGAGCUAACAAUAGCAAUCAAGCAGGAACUGUACGUUGAACUUUUACCCACACCUGUUGUUCAAGAUAAACAGUAAAAGUUUUUGACCUUUGUAUCAUGACGACUCCACCCGUACAUAAGGAUUUCAUCUUGCUCUCAUACAGCAAUGAGGACAUAAACUUCCAAGAAUGACUUCUAAACCAGGAUGAGAAAACAGACAGACAUCAGAAGUCAGAGAUGAUGUUUGAUUGAAGACUAAGGACAGACACGGAGGAGAGAACAGAGUAUAAACAUGUCAAGCGCUGACACCAGAGUGAUUUUUGCCCACAAUCCUCCUUGCAGAAGAAGAUGGAGCAAAGAAAAACCCCCUAUGAUGAGGAUUGUUCUGCUGGGGAAGAGCGUGUCAGAAAACAGUCAGGUGGGAAACUUCCUGUUGGGACGAGCAGCGCUUGACAGUGAAGCUCCUCCAGGUGUUGUAGAGAGAGUUGGAGGAAGAUUGAAGGACAGACAUGUGAUGGUCAUCAACAGUCCUCAGCUGCUCCAGACACAUCUGUCACUCCGUCACAUCACACAGACAGUGAAAGAG